rnacentral:ncRNA from 2 species
GUACAACUUAACCGGAUAGGCAAAGGAAGUCUUGGUGAAAUUCCAAGCGCUGCCCCGCAACGGUAAUUCCGCGCUUCAAAGCGCGGAGAGCCCGGACGAUUGCCUAUCUUAGGAAGUAUUC